AGGCAACCUCCUUCUGUCUUGAGAAAAGAAUGGGAAGGAAGGUGUUUAUCUGCUCAUAAAAAGACCUUUUGCUCUUCAGACUUGCUGAGUUUUUCCUUGAAGCUGGUCUAGUAAGCUCAAGAACAUU